UACGUAGGGUGCAAGCGUUGUCCGGAAUUAUUGGGCGUAAAGAGCUUGUAGGCGGUUUGUCGCGUCUGCUGUGAAAUUUCGGGGCUCAACCCCGAACUUGCAGUGGGUACGGGCAGACUAGAGUGUGGUAGGGGAGACGUGGAAUUCCUGGUGUAGCGGUGAAAUGCGCAGAUAUCAGGAGGAACACCGAUGGCGAAGGCAGGUCUCUGGGCCAUAACUGACGCUGAGAAGCGAAAAGCAUGGGGAGCGAACAGG
rnacentral:rRNA from 1 species